UUCGUACGUAGGGAGGUAACGUAACGUAGGUAACGGUAACGUACGCNNUAAUACCGCAUAACGCUGCGAUGGGGCAUCCCGAUGCAGCCAAAGGAGCAAUCCGCUGGAAGAUGGGCUCGCGGCCGAUUAGCUAGUUGGUGGGGCAACGGCCCACCAAGGCGACGAUCGGUAGCCGGACUGAGAGGUUGAUCGGCCACAUUGGGACUGAGACACGGCCCAGACUCCUACGGAAGGCAGCAG
rnacentral:rRNA from 1 species